GGGGAAUUUUCCGCAAUGGGCGAAAGCCUGACGGAGCAAUACCGCGUGAGGGAUGACGGCCUAUGGGUUGUAAACCUCUUUUUUCAGGGAGGAAUCAAUGACGUGUACCUGAAGAAUAAGCAUCGGCUAACUCCGUGCCAGCAGCCGCGGUAAGACGGAGGAUGCAAGUGUUAUCCGGAAUCACUGGGCGUAAAGCGUCUGUAGGUGGUUGAAUAAGUCAACUGUUAAAUCUUGAGGCUCAACCUCAAAACCGCAGUCGAAACUAUUUGACUAGAGUAUAGUAGGGGUAAAGGGAAUUUCCAGUGGAGCGGUGAAAUGCGUAGAGAUUGGAAAGAACACCGAUGGCGAAGGCACUUUACUGGGCUAUUACUAACACUGAGAGACGAAAGCUAGGGUAGCAAAUGGGAUUAGAUACCCCAGUAGUC
rnacentral:rRNA from 1 species